GAAGGAGACGCAUCGAACGACACUCCUCACAGUUAUGGUAACGUUUUAAUCAUCUCGUCUAUCUUGCCGCGAGUCGAUCACAAGACAACGAGAACAAUGUCUCGCGUGUUGGAACGGUUGACGAGGAGGAUGGGUGAAAGAAGACGGCGAAGAUGUCGACGACGAGCAGCCACUUUCCAUCGAGUGUCCUCUCGAAUCGUAGCCCAGCGUCUUGAAAGCUUCUGAACGAUGGAUCCUCGACCAGCGUGUGCCUUCCCGUCCAGGCCUAUGCAACAGGAACACCAUGCAAGCAAACGAUCCUCGAAUGGCUUGGCAAACCAUUGGCCCGACCACGAAUCAAACGAAUGAGACAGCGUUUCAGGAGUUUGCGUGAUGAAUAAUACGCGUAACGCAAGAAGGAAACUGUUCCGCGAAUUGAAUCAGUUAUGGCUUAUAUGCGCGCGUUGACAAGUGUAGCUUCAAAGAUGAACAACGUUGGCAGAAACACGUUACUCGAAAUGGAAAUAUUUCUCGCUCGGAACACUCGAAAAUCUACGUGGAAGCGAUAUAGCGUUUGAGGAAACGCGCUAAGGAAUUUCUUUGUCUCGUAAAAGAUCACGAAGAAUCAUUUAAAAGUUAGCUAUUUUUUAGGAUUCUCCGGUUUGAUUUUGUGCAAACUAGAAUUUUGUGAAAAUUAUACGGCAGAAUUUUAUGCAAACUAUACGCUGAGACUUCAAAGGCCAUUGAACCAAUCUGUAAGCGAGCAAUUCUUUCGACAUUUUCUAUUUUGCUUUAGUGCAAACUAUACGGUAGAUCUGGCUAAGAAUCGAAAGAAUUCGACCAGCGAAAAUGCAAAAUAGCCAAAAAUACGACGAAAAUACCCUGGAUAGAUCAGUCGAUCCACAUACAACCAGGUGGUUCGUAUACAGCGAAGUCUCGUUUAUGCGAGUUCGACCUAAGUUCCGUGCAGUCCGAGACGCCUUAAACUUGAGCGUAACUUCGUCUUUCUGGACAUUUUAACGCGAACAGUACGUAAGAGCGCUGGAAUAGUCGGAUACUGCGAAAGCAGUUGAUCAAGUUACCGAUAGAUCAAACGAUGAAUCAAACUUAACACACGCACCA